ACCCAGCUGACGAGUCCCAAAAUAGGACGAAACGCGCGUCCUGGAU
rnacentral:hammerhead_ribozyme from 1 species